UGUUUUUCAUUUCUGCUGUCGUUUUCGCUCAGGGGAGGAGGGGCGAGAGGCUGCCAUGGCGGAGAGGUUGGCACUCGGCACCGUCCCCGCAGACGACGCCACUGGAUAUGGAGGGAGCGGUGUUUCGGGUUCGGGCGCCACCGCCGACGAAGAUAGCAGUCACCCCGCAGCCGGUACGAGCGACGUCAGAGAGAUCCGUAGAGCGCGAGCCUGCUCGACCCGCGAAGGAGAGACGGCCGGCGGUUAACCUGCGUGGAAGACAUGGCCGCCAUUUUUGGUGAGCCAAUCUUUCAUCCAACUUCAGCCUGGCGGUCUCUGCGCACAAAACCUCCGAUAUAUCAAAAAAGAAAAGAUCAAGAAAGAAGGUUGUCUUUCUUCCUCGGAAACAAGAUCAGAGUACCUACAAGACUCCGAUAAUUUACUAAGAGCGCUUCUCGUCUACAUGUGCAAAGUUUGUUUAAAUGUCAGCCAUGCCUACGCCAGGGAUUUCCGCAUGGAGGAAUGAGUGGUUGGAGUAGGACGUGAGCUGUUUUGCUUUGGUGGAUAAGGUUGAACAGGUGUUUUGGAUCUUACACGGAUGCAUGUUCUUGUUUUGGGGCUUUUCUUGUUUCUGGAUACUUUUCUGUACAGGGCUAAAAAAGGUCAGUACUUACUGAAGAAAUGAAAAACACUGAUUCAACAUGGGCUGUACAAAAUGUGUCUGUUUCACUGGACUAAAACAGACAGUUUAACGAGUCUUUUCCAUUGA